UGUUUAGUCUAGUCUUGCAGUUGGAUACUUAAUUUGGCAUAUGGUCUUUGGAAGGAUCGUGGCUGUCCAUUUCCACUGAGUUCUGUUGGUUGUACUGAAUCAAAUUGGAUAAAAAUUUUGUUGGCAUCUGUUGAGUCAAAGGAGCCAGGAGAUGGAGACUGAGAAGAUUUAGAAGCUCUGAUGAAGUGGAUGGAGAAUGGAACCAACUGAGGUUAUGUAGAAUUGGCUCCUGAGGGCCAGAUAACAUCAGGAAUCACGUGCUGGUGAUGGAGGAGCCAGAUAGGAUGGUAAUUUCCUAUGAAAUCUGAGUGGAAGAAGAUCAGGAGAAGGAAACACUAAAGAUCGAGACAGAAGGCAGAAACUUGAUGGAGCCAGGUCAUGGAGUAGGCAGGAGAUAGGAGCAAAGGUAAAAUACAGAAAUCCUGCCCGACACACGAAAGAAUGCAGCACUUCCCGGAGCGUGGGCUGCUCGGGUCUGGCUCUCUAG
rnacentral:lncRNA from 1 species